CCGUGUGUGGCUCAGUCUGGUAGAGUACUCCGUUUGGGGCGGAGGGGUCGUAGGUUCAAUUCCUACCACACGGA
rnacentral:tRNA from 2 species